rnacentral:ncRNA from 1 species
AUAAAUGAAAUAGUAUCACCAUAAAUCACAAAUAGGAGAGAAUAAAAGCGUCAAUUACUUUUUCAUGACGGUGGCCAUGGAAAUCGGAAACCGCUAAGGGGUGUGUAACAACUCACCUACCGAAUCAACCAGCCCAGAAAAUGGAUGGCGCUCGAGCGUUUGACCUAUACCGUACCGUUGCUGCAAGCUGGGCGUAAGCAGUGUGAGGGCAAGGUGACUUGGUCCAGGCACGGAGUGGCGGCGACG